GCGAAAGCAUUUGCCAAGAAUGUUUUCAUUAAUCAAGAACGAAAGUCAGAGGUGCGAAGGCGAUCAGAACCGCCGUAGUUCUGACCGUAAACGAUGCCGACUGGCCAUUGGGCGCACUUCUGCCGAAGUUGCGGCCAGCAGUAUUCAUCCCGGGAAACCAAAGUCACUGGGCUCCGGGGGGAGUAUGGUUGCAAACGCUGAAACUUAAAGGAAUUGACGGAAGGGCACCACCAGGAGUGGAGCCUGCGGCUUAAUUUGACUCAACACGGGAAACCUCACCCGGCCCGAACACUGUUAUGACAGACAGGUUGAGAGCUCUUUCUCGAUUCAGUGGUUGGUGGUGCAUGGCCGUUCUUAGUUCGUGGAGCGAUCUGUCUGGUUAAUUCCGAUAACGAACGAGACUCUUGCCUGCUAAAUAGACGGCGCCGACGCAAGUACGGCGACCGCUCGCUUCUUAGAGGGACAAGCGGCUCUUAGCCGCGUGAAGAAAAGAGCAAUAACAGGUCUGUGAUGCCCUCAGAUGUUCGGGGCCGCACGCGCGCUACACUGUCCGCGGCAUCGUGCCGAACUACCUGCGCCGGCAUGCGCGGGCAAUCCGCUCAAACGCGCGACGUGCUUGGGCUCGGAGAUUGCAAUUGUUCUCCGUCAACGAGGAAUUCCUUGUACCCGCGCGUCAUCAGCUCGCGGGGAAUCCGUCCCUGCCCUUUGUACACACCGCCCGUCGCUACUACCGAUUGAGUGGUUUGGUGAGGCUCGCGGACGGCCGGCAUCGGGCGCUCGUCGCCCACCGCCGGCCGGAAGCGAUACGAACUUGAUCACUUCUAGGAAGUAAAAGUCGUAACAAGGUUUUCGUAGGUGAACCUGCGGAAGGAAUCAAUCUCUAGAGGAUC
rnacentral:rRNA from 1 species